UAUCUGUAGUGUUGGACCCAGACUGGGUUGGUGGUGGUACCUAAGAGUACACCAGACUACAGGAAGCUGAGGCAUGCUGCUUGACAGUCAGUGGUUCCAUGUGCAAUUUUCCUCUGGCAGGCCCAGGGUAUGGUUGCCAUGGUGAUAACAGCCGUGCAGUGUCGUUAUUGAUCCACCAAUAGUCAGAGAAGCUUUGCAGUCAGGAUAUUGUUUAGUAGACAGAGUGGUUUCGGAUGGACACUAAUUCCUUCCACAAAA